UGCGUAGGUGGCGCCGUAAGUCAGGUGUGAAAUUUCGGAGCUUAACUCCGAAACUGCAUUUGAUACUGCGGUGCUUGAGGACUGGAGAGGAGACUGGAAUUCACGGUGUAGCAGUGAAAUGCGUAGAUAUCGUGAGGAAGACCAGUGGCGAAGGCGGGUCUCUGGACAGUUCCUGACACUGAGGCACCGAAGGGCCAGGGGAAGGCAAACG
rnacentral:rRNA from 1 species